CUUCACUCUGCGGCAGCGGAAGUCUGUCUGUCAAUGGGAAGCAGACGUGGCUGUUAACGGUUCCACACAGUGGAAGAACUGCAAGAAAGACUGAAAGUGUCAGCGCCGCGACGCAACAUUGGCUGUGAGCGGCCUGCAGAUGUGGACAGGUGGAGAGAGGACAACGGGAAGGAGAGGGAGACAAUGGGGUUAGUACGCGUCCUGGGCCGACUUCAGAGAGAACUCUGCCGACAACCGACUGGAAAGUUCGCCGGGGAACCCGAGACAGCAGAGUCAGUGGAAGGAUUCGGACCAAUCACCUCCCAGUCUUCAGCGUGAGCUUGGAGCUACUGCACAA